AAAGAAUUAGUUAAAAAAUAACAUAAAUAUGUCAAAUUUAAAUUAUUAUUAAAAUUAAUAUUCUUUU
rnacentral:tRNA from 1 species